GAGUUGUGAUGUAAACUGAUUCAUGAAGUCAGAAAAUUUUUCCCUCAAAAAGAAAGUCAGGAAAUACUCCAGAAAUUAAAAAUCCUCCAUCAACCUAAACCCUCAUCCGCGAAAAACCUCCAUCAGCGAAAACCUCCACUAACGAAAUACUCCAGAAAUUGAAACUCGACCUCCAUCAACAAGUAGAGGAUGAAAUUGCUAAAUUGUUCUUUUCUCAAAUUUCUCCCCAUUUCAAUUUUACUAAUCUUAGGGUUUAUGCGCUAUAUUAUUUUUUUCAUUUUGUAGGAGUAUAAUUAAAAAUUUAAUCUUAGUUGUUGGGAUGAAUUCUUGGAGGGAUCCGUGAAAUCAUUUUGUGCUGAUCUUCGAUCUACUUGUUAUUCGAUGCUAUCGACAGUGUGAUGGAAAAUUGGUUUUCAAAGUCACCGAUAACAGGGAGGACUCGGUUUCUUUUUACCCACUUUUUUCUGGAAUUUUAGGGGUUUUUAUGUCAGGUUCAAAAUUGUUUGGUUUUAUUACAGGGUUAGAACUAAUGGAUGGGAAUUAUGCAAGCUUUUUUUGUAGAUCUUAUUGAUCUUAUCCUAAAAUAGUAGAUCUUAUUGAUCUUAUUCUAAAAUAGUAGAUCUUAUUGAUCUUAUUCUAAAAUGAAAUUAUCAUUGGUUGUGUUAAAAGAAUUUAUACUUAAGGGAGUUUAUCAUAGUUUGCUGGUUUUGGAUGUGAGUUCACUGAGUUGUUAAUAUGUAAUGUUUACCAUACGUAUAGUAAAAUUAACUGAACGAAAUUCAUGAUAGUUUCCACAUUUAAGUAUAACUACAAUUAGUAGUAUCACAAGUAAUGAAUCCUGAUGUAUUUCUGCAUUACUCUGUUGUCUGCAUUACCUUUAUGGCAAGUUCAGACAUCAUCAUAGAAUCAUAUAUUCCUACAGAUUUAAUGUGAGAAAUUGAUUCCUUCAUACAAGUAUAAGCUUCCUGUGUGUAGCUGUGACUAGUUCUGAAUGCAUGAGCUUGUUGUUGGCAGAAAUAGUCUCUAUGGUUAUCGAUACCAAGUACUGCUAGUAGAGGUUCAUCAUGUUCUUGAAGAUCCUCAAUCUUUGUCAUGCUGGAAAUUCUAUUCUUCCGCUCUUCUGAUUCUUCAUGAUCAAUUAAUUACACUUGUUGAAUUCUUGCAAGUACUGCUGGUAUAGUCGCCUUUUGAAAUCGAUCUUACACCACGGCUCACAGGUUUUGACCAAUGUUCAGGAUGAUAGCUCUCUGGAAACUGGAAAUACUGAUGGAAAUAGGUUUAUGUGAGUCAACCAACCUAUUUGGUGAAUUGGUUGUCGAUUCAGAUACAAAAGAGUUACGACACUAUACAGAAAAGCCUGAGUUAAAUUAGCACAAGCAUUUCACUCUGGAGGCAUAUACUCGAGAAGUUAUCGAUGAUGUUCGUGAAAGAUGGUGUAGAUUUUUCAUUGAUAAUUGUUUAUAGUUAAUUAAUUUUAGUUUGACACUUAGUUGACAUAAACUUCUUAAAUUUGUACCCAAUAUUUUCUAAUAUGUAAAAAUACAAAAGUACUAUGUAUGACUUUUAUCAAUUUUGGAGAUAAUAUUGCAGUGGUUUGAAUUUUUA